GCUGCAGCGCAGGGGGAGGGGAUUUGCGAGGCUUUGGGGCAGCAGGUGGAUGCAGGGGCCGGCCUAGGGGGAUGCCAGUAGAGACCCGCAGAACAGGCCCCAGGAGCUGGACAGGAAAGCCAGGCACGUUCAGAGCAGAAAGGAGACGCUAAUUUUUGAGAGGGCGGAUGAUUAACCAGCAUCUGAAAGGAAGGGCGGGUUCCCUCUUCUCUUCCUGGCCUGCCUGGGUCUUUCUGGAAGGUGCGUUAGGCCAACACCCUGUGGUUGAGACGUGGGCAGUCACUGCGCCCUGCACCCCCAUUGCAGUCGGAUGUGACUCUCAGGUAGCACGGAAGGUUUAUUGUCCACAGGGACACAGCCUAGACCAGACUGGUCAGCACAGUAACUGGAAGCAUUCAGGACAAUCCAUCUUGGGGAGGGGGGGCUCCUCCCAGUCCUCAAGCCAGCAGGGAGAAACUCUCACUCAGCAGCCCUGUCCCAGCCCUCCCUCCAGCCUUUGUCCUACUUCCCCUGCAAAAGGUGUCACCUGGUCACGCCCUCCACCCAGGCUCAGGUUACAGAGAACAUCGACCAUUAUGAACAUGGGGGAGGCUGUCACAGUGAAAUUCCCAUCCCCACCUAGGUAUGGGGGCAGUGCCCAGGGAAACUGAGGUACACCCAUGCGGGGUUCCUACAGGCCAGUAGAACUCACGUGCAGCAUAACAAGGGAAUGAAAUCCCCACUUUGUCGCACGGGGCUCGCAGUGGGGUUGCUGGGUGACACUGAAUGGCCUGUGACUCUCCAAUGGUCCCUUCUGGCCUUGAACUCCCUUGCUGGGCUGAUCGCAUGCAGUGCUGGAUGGGGCUGGACCUGUCCCUUGCUGCUGAAUGCCAGGCUUCAAUGACCAGUGGUCUGGCGGGCUACAUGCUGUACUGGUUCCUAUGCCGCACUCUUCUCUCUCCCUCUCCCUCCUGCUUCUGCAGCCAUGGAUCCGGCCCCGAGCUCCUCCGAGGACCCCCCAGGCUCCGACAAUGACUCUGACGCAGAGAACAAGGUUGACCCAGACACGCAGGCUCAGGAAUACAUCGACCGUGUUCUCAGCUCUGUGCAGCCCAGCCCCAAAGCCCAGUGCUCCCCUCCGGGGUCGCUCUCUGUGGAGCCCCGGGCCCCAGAGCAGAGGUCUUUCCUGGAGCUGAAGAAGUCUCCGGCAGGCGAGGACGUGACCUCUGGGCUGUUAGCCCUCCCUCUGGAGCUGAUCCUGGAGAUCUGCUCUUAUCUGGAAGCCAGGUUUGUUCUCGAGGUCUUGCCCCUGGUCUGUCGGACCCUCAGGGAUAUUGUGCAGGACCAAGUGACCUGGAGGAUUCGCCUUCAGAAGAGGAUCAGUGGGUGUUACCCGGUGGUGGAAGAGGAGGACUUUGACUGGCCAGCUGCCUGCAUGGAGGUGGAGGAGCAUCUCCGGCACUGGGCCUGUGACGGCGAGAGAACCGAGUACUUCUCCCUCGCCGACGGCCACUUCGCCUCCAUUGACUCCGUUCUGCUCCUCCAGGGCGGGGCUCUCUGCGUCUCGGGCUCCCGGGAUCGCAACGUCAACCUGUGGGACCUGCGGCAGCUGGGCCAGUCCCCGGACAAGGUGCUGGUGAAAGCGCUGGGCACGGAGCGCAACGGGACACACAAGGGCUGGGUGUGGUCGCUGGCUUCUAGAGAGCACAAGGUGUGUUCCGGCUCCUGGGACAGCACGGUGAAGUUGUGGGACCUAGAGGCCAACGGGCAGCAGUUUGGGGAGAUCAGGGGGAAAGCUGCCGUGCUGUGUCUCUCCUACCUGCCCGACAUCCUGGUCACCGGGACCUACGACAAGAAGGUGACAGUGUACGACCCACGAGUGCAAACAGCCUGGGUUGGAGAAACCGGCAAAGCAAACGAGCGUGUUAAGCCCCAGGAGGUCACAGGAGGCAUCAGAGAGAGAAAAGGCAAAACUCAGCUGACCCCCCGCGAAGUGAUUUCGGAAGUCGCUCUUGCCGCCAGUUCAUCGUGGAUGCCUGAGGCCGUUCGGGGGCGUGUGCCCUCCCCUGUAGUGCUUGGCCCCCCAGACCCCGCUGAAGAGUCGCAAGCUCCACUCCAGCGCCGUCCUGUCCCUCGUGGCCGACGAGCGCUUCAUCAUCUCCGGCAGCGAGGACCGGACGCUGGUCGUCUUCGAUCGACGGACCAACAGUGUCCUCCAGAGGCUGCAGCUGGAAUCCUACCUGCUCUCCAUGUCCUACCAAGGGACGCAGCUGUGGGCCGGGGACAACCAGGGACUGCUCUACGUCUUUAAAAACAGAGGCGGCAGCUUCCAGCACAGCCGGUACUUCAACGUGGGUCACCGGUCCCAGAUCACUGGGGUCUGGCACUCCCUGGGCACGCUGUACACGACCUCCACCGACAAGAGCCUGCGGAUACACGUUCCCACGGACCCGCCUCGCACUGUCUGCACACGGACACACAACAACGUGCUGAACGGGAUCAGUGCAGAAGGCAACAUUGUGGUAGCUGCUUCCGGGGGCCUGUCCUUGGAAAUCUGGAGGCUCAACGCCUGAUGGAGGCCUGGAUCUGCGGAGCCGUGUGUUGCCGGGGGAGGUGCUGCGCCCGGCGCCCGACUGCCGGCCGGGGGGCCAGAGUUCCGGUGCCCGUUCGUCGGUCAUUUGUUCCUUGUUCUUUGGAAGAGGCCCGAGGAGCCGCGAGGUCGAAGUUUCGCUGCCUGAGCUCACCCUGGCCCUGCUGUUCCCAGAGGGG